rnacentral:lncRNA from 1 species
AGCCAAUGCCUGAAAUAAUGAACUCCUCCAAGGCAAGAAAUCUGUUUUGAAGCUUCUCUGCGUUCACACACAGCAGCCUGGUUUCCUGGAAGGGCAUUUUCCACAUUGUGCGUUAUGGAUGAUCAUCCCAGGCAUCAGGUGUGAAGCCCUGCAUCCACAUCCAGGGGCUAUCAAAUCUCUCUGCAAAAGGAGAAGCUGGACUCAGGCACGUUUACAGUGAUGUGUAUGCAGUUCUGUGAAGGAAGCUGCAGAAGAAAAAGGUGAAAGAGGUGAGGAAGCUGCAGAAGAAAACCUGGAAGUUAGCAGAGCUUGAUCCAGAGGUUUAAGGAAAGAAGCCAUCUCCAUAACAUAAAAGUGCAAGGUGAAGCAGCAAGUGCUGAUGGGGAAGCUGCAGCAAGUCAUCCAGAAGAUCUUGCUAAGGGUAUGCACAGAUGUGGAAACAGGAACUGAUGUGUCCAUUACACCACUAGGACAGAGGCCAGAACAAUGAAGAAACCAAAUACUUGGAAGAGGGUAGAGAUAAUGAAUGGAGUCCAAGAGCCCUGAUUGUGCCAUAAAUGUCCAGAUAAUUCCAUACCUGAGGAUUAUGUGGUUUGUAAACUUGGCACUUAGAAGAACCAAUAAAAUCAUGUUAUAGUUUCAA